UCCCUGAUAGCUUAGUUGGUAAAGAAUCUGCCUGCAAUGCAGGAGACCCUGGUUCGAUUCCUGGGUCGGGAA
rnacentral:tRNA from 1 species